ACGCUGCCGGCGUGCCUAAUACAUGCAAGUCGAGCGAAUGGAUUAAGAGCUUGCUCUUAUGAAGUUAGCGGCGGACGGGUGAGUAACACGUGGGUAACCUGCCCAUAAGACUGGGAUAACUCCGGGAAACCGGGGCUAAUACCGGAUAACAUUUUGAACCUGCAUGGUUCGAAAUUGAAAGGCGGCUUCGGCUGUCACUUAUGGAUGGACCCGCGUCGCAUUAGCUAGUUGGUGAGGUAACGGCUCACCAAGGCAACGAUGCGUAGCCGACCUGAGAGGGUGAUCGGCCACACUGGGACUGAGACACGGCCCAGACUCCUACGGGAGGCAGCAGUAGGGAAUCUUCCGCAAUGGACGAAAGUCUGACGGAGCAACGCCGCGUGAGUGAUGAAGGCUUUCGGGUCGUAAAACUCUGUUGUUAGGGAAGAACAAGUGCUAGUUGAAUAAGCUGGCACCUUGACGGUACCUAACCAGAAAGCCACGGCUAACUACGUGCCAGCAGCCGCGGUAAUACGUAGGUGGCAAGCGUUAUCCGGAAUUAUUGGGCGUAAAGCGCGCGCAGGUGGUUUCUUAAGUCUGAUGUGAAAGCCCACGGCUCAACCGUGGAGGGUCAUUGGAAACUGGGAGACUUGAGUGCAGAAGAGGAAAGUGGAAUUCCAUGUGUAGCGGUGAAAUGCGUAGAGAUAUGGAGGAACACCAGUGGCGAAGGCGACUUUCUGGUCUGUAACUGACACUGAGGCGCGAAAGCGUGGGGAGCAAACAGGAUUA
rnacentral:rRNA from 2 species